rnacentral:rRNA from 1 species
GACGAACGCUGGCGGCGUGCCUAACACAUGCAAGUCGAACGGGACUUAAUGGAAAGCGACUUCGGUCAAUGGAAGUUAAGUUUAGUGGCGAACGGGUGAGUAACGCGUGAGAAACCUGCCUUUCAGUGGGGGACAACAGUUGGAAACGACUGCUAAUACCGCAUAAUGUAUUCGGGGGGCAUCCCCUGAAUACCAAAGCUUUAUGUGCUGAAAGAUGGUCUCGCGUCUGAUUAGCUAGAUGGCGGGGUAACGGCCCACCAUGGCGACGAUCAGUAGCCGGUCUGAGAGGAUGAACGGCCACAUUGGGACUGAGAUACGGCCCAG